UAUGAUUUAUCUACAGGUUUACACAAUGCUAUAUAAACCUUUAUUUUCAGAGUAAAUGCAAUCUGUUUGCCAGACUGAAAUAGAAAAUCUAAGAUGACUAUGAUUAAAGCACUUAUUAUUUUGUUGUGUGUCGCUGUUGCCUUUGGAUUCCAGUAUGGCUACUACGGUGACAACGAUCGCUUUGAUAUAGAUGAUGACUAUUAUGGUCUACGUCUACGUCUCGGCGGGAGAGGACAUGCUGUAAGACAUAUCAGACCAAAUGUCUACCCUAAAUAUGCUGUACGCAGUGUUGUAAGCCGACCAACUAUACAUAUCGUUCGUGGAUACUGAAGAAAAAAUAAUGUCAUCGUAAGAAAAUAGAACAUCGAAGGAAAGGCUGGUUUCCAUUAAAGUGCUACUGAUCGGGAGCAGUAAUCUCCGUUUCACUAUUUAUAAUGUUGUUGUUUAAUAUGAUUAAACUAAUGAGUAACAGGGUA